rnacentral:lncRNA from 1 species
CCUCGAAGAAUUCGAAGCGAAUGAAGCCGUCGCCAACUGGAGUAGGCUCGUAGGUGAAGUUACCCGCUUUUCUCAUUUGUUUGCCAAAGCUUUCAGGUGUGGUCAAGGUGAGAAAGAAACCCUUUGAAGCAAGGAGUCUGCCGAGCCUCAGGAGCGGGUUUACGUGGCCAUGGCCGGGGAAUGAAACUAGUAAGACAUGAACAAGAGAUUCAGUUCCCAUUAUUCUCGAAUGAUUUGUUCUAAAAUUGGCUAGCUAGCAAUUUAAAUGACAGAUGGGC